GUGAGGAAUAUUGGUCAAUGGACGGAAGUCUGAACCAGCCAUGCCGCGUGCAGGAAUAAGGUCCUAUGGAUUGUAAACUGCUUUUAUUCGGGAAUAAACCUCUUUACGUGUAGGGAGCUGAAGGUACCGAAGGAAUAAGCACCGGCUAACUCCGUGCCAGCAGCCGCGGUAAUACGGAGGGUGCAAGCGUUAUCCGGAAUCAUUGGGUUUAAAGGGUCCGCAGGCGGGCUAUCAAGUCAGAGGUGAAAUCCCACAGCUUAACUGUGGAACUGCCUUUGAAACUGAUGGUCUUGAAUUAAGUGGGCGUUGGCGGAAUAUGACAUGUAGCGGUGAAAUGCAUAGAUAUGUCAUGGAACACCGAAAGCGAAGGCAGCUAACGAUACUUAUAUUGACGCUCAUGGACGAAAGCGUGGGUAGCGAACAGGAUUAGAUACCCGGGUAGUCC
rnacentral:rRNA from 1 species